rnacentral:rRNA from 1 species
UACGUAGGGUGCGAGCGUUAAUCGGAAUUACUGGGCGUAAAGCGUGCGCAGGCGGUUUGUUAAGACAGAUGUGAAAUCCCCGGGCUUAACCUGGGAACUGCAUUUGUGACUGGCAAGCUAGAGUAUGGCAGAGGGGGGUAGAAUUCCACGUGUAGCAGUGAAAUGCGUAGAGAUGUGGAGGAAUACCGAUGGCGAAGGCAGCCCCCUGGGCCAAUACUGACGCUCAUG